UAGCGGCAGGCUUAACACAUGCAAGUCGAGGGGCAGCGAAUCUAGCUUGCUAGAUGUCGGCGACCGGCGAACGGGUGCGUAACGCGUAUAGAAUCUGCCUUGUACAGGAGGAUAGCCUUUAGAAAUGAAGAUUAAUACUCCAUAAUGUUUAGAGAUGGCAUCAUUUUUAAAUUAAAGAUUUAUUGGUACAAGAUGACUAUGCGUCCUAUUAGCUAGAUGGUAAGGUAACGGCUUACCAUGGCAACGAUAGGUAGGGGGUCUGAGAGGAUUAUCCCCCACACUGGUACUGAGACACGGACCAGACUCCUACGGGAGGCAGCAGUGAGGAAUAUUGGUCAAUGGAGGCAACUCUGAACCAGCCAUGCCGCGUGCAGGAAGACUGCCCUAUGGGUUGUAAACUGCUUUUAUACAGGAAGAAACAGUCGUACGUGUACGACCUUGACGGUACUGUAAGAAUAAGCACCGGCUAACUCCGUGCCAGCAGCCGC
rnacentral:rRNA from 1 species